rnacentral:misc_RNA from 1 species
AACACUGUUAACCUGCGGUACCUGCGGAAGGAUCAUUACCGAGUUUACAACUCCCAAACCCCUGUGAACAUACCAAUUGUUGCCUCGGCGGAUCAGCCCGCUCCCGGUAAAACGGGACGGCCCGCCAGAGGACCCCUAAACUCUGUUUCUAUAUGUAACUUCUGAGUAAAACCAUAGAUAAAUCAAAACUUUCAACAAUGGAUCU